UGCCAGCAGCCGCGGUAAUACGGAGGGCGCGAGCGUUACCCGGAUUUACUGGGCGUAAAGGGCGUGUAGGCGGCCUGGGGCGUCCCAUGUGAAAGGCCACGGCUCAACCGUGGAGGAGCGUGGGAUACGCUCAGGCUUGAGGGUGGGAGAGGGUGGUGGAAUUCCCGGAGUAGCGGUGAAAUGCGCAGAUACCGGGAGGAACGCCGAUGGCGAAGGCAGCCACCCGGUCCACUUCUGACGCUGAGGCGCGAAAGCGUGGGGAGCAAACCGGAUUAGAUACCCGGGUAGUCCACGCCCUAAACGAUGCGCGCUAGGUCUCUGGGUUUAUCUGGGGGCCGAAGCCAACGCGUUAAGCGCGCCGCCUGGGGAGUACGGCCGCAAGGCUGAAACUCAAAGGAAUUGACGG
rnacentral:rRNA from 1 species